rnacentral:ribozyme from 11 species
AAAGAUACACAGAGAAAGAGAAGGAAGAGAGAGAGAGGGGGGGGAAAUAGAAAGAAUGCGUCGUCGCUUCUUUCUGAUUGAUUCUCUCGCUCUUUGUCUGUCCCUCUUUUCUGUUUCUUUUUCUCUUUCUUUCGUUCGUUCUUUCUUUGCUUACUUGUGU